rnacentral:rRNA from 1 species
UACGUAGGGGGCAAGCGUUGUCCGGAAUUAUUGGGCGUAAAGAGCGUGUAGGCGGCCAGAUAAGUCCGCUGUGAAAUCUCGAGGCUCAACUUCGAGCUGUCGGUGGAAACUAUCUGGCUAGAGUCCGGAAGAGGAGAAUGGAAUUCCUGGUGUAGCGGUGAAAUGCGCAGAUAUCAGGAAGAACACCGGUGGCGAAGGCGGCGACCUGGUCCGAUACUGACGCUGAGGCGCGAAAGCGUGGGGAGCAAACAGG